UACAGAGGUCUCAAGCGUUGUUCGGAUUCAUUGGGCGUAAAGGGUGCGUAGGCGGCGCGGUAAGUCGGGGUGUGAAAUCUCGGAGCUUAACUCCGAAACUGCAUUCGAUACUGCCGUGCUUGAGGACUGGAGAGGAGACUGGAAUUUACGGUGUAGCAGUGAAAUGCGUAGAUAUCGUAAGGAAGACCAGUGGCGAAGGCGGGUCUCUGGACAGUUCCUGACACUGAGACACGAAGGCCAGGGGAGCAAACGGG
rnacentral:rRNA from 1 species